AUAUAUAUACACACACACACACACACACACACAGCAAAUGUUAAAGAUGUUUGUUCCCGCUCCACUUCUAACUUCUGGAUCCCAGGGAUGUAAAACUGAGGCUGCUUAGUCAACAAUGAAUAAAUGAUGAGAGGCUUGAGAUGUGACGUCAGCGAGAUCAACAUGAAGCUGCGGUGACCGGCUAACGUUAAAUAGUGAGACGAACAUGAUCUUCGUGAGCGCACCGCUGGUGGUCGGAGGGCAGUGAACGCCUCAUGAAGUUGUCACGCUACACAUUGAUCCCGUAUGCGUGUCUCUUGUUGACACAGCUGUGUGUGUGUGUGUGUGUGUGCGCACAUGGGCGGAUAUUUGCAUGAUCUGUCAUUGAGUCGGCAUGCUUAGAUCUCAUGUGAGGGAGCUCCUUCACUACGAGCCUCCCUGUAAACAAACAGCCGGGGCGUGACGUGCCAAGCACAGGAAAAUGGAGCUUUAAACCAUUUAAAAUCUAACACAGGUGGACGCCUACCGUCGGGGACCUCUCUGUCGCUGAUGUGCUGCAGCUGAACCAGCGUCACCGUGGGGCCGGUUGCCGAGACGUGGCCUGUUGUCAUGGUUACCUGAGAAUUCAGAGGGGACCAGCAGUGGUGAAGCGCAGCAUGGAGUCAUGGCCGAAUGUGUGCACUGGAUGACAACAUCUGGAUCUGGAUGGCGCUGGACCAAAUGUCACAACAUGUGUUAAAACAGCUCAGAACAAUGACGACUGAUGUUGAAAAUUCGUAUCGGAUAGUUCCAUUUCUGCAGCUGAGCUCUUUUAUCAGUUUACUGCGCCACAGAUGACGCGAUAAACUAAAAUAAGCGUUUUCUCUCCUAAUGAAGAUAAGCAAGUGGCAACUGUGAUCACUACAACCGGGAUGUUGUUUUUCUCCUUUCAUGCGUUACUGAAAUAAUGAGAAGAGCGAUUUGGCAUUAAAUUAUGUUUUAAAAUAAAAGUUCCAUGUAUGUUUCAAUAUAUAUAUUAAGAUUUUUUUUUUACAGUAAAGUACUUGAAAUACAGAAUAAAAUAAAAGUAAUGAGAACAGAUGUUUCAGAUGGAGACAUAAAAAUGAAAACCACAUUUA